GAGGAAAGGAAUGGUCAUAUAUCCCUUGAUAAGCUAAAGAAGCUGUAAUCACUGGCCUUGGAUAAGAGUUGCAAACAUUUGAGGGUUAAAAUAUUCUCUUCCUAUUUCUCAUACAUUACUCCACAAUUCCUUGACCCCAAUGGUACCAGUACAUAAAAUUUGGAAUAACAGUAAAUUCCAAGAAAGGCAUCAAGAGCAAAAUGUGGUUACUAAGAAGAAAGUACACCAUGGGAAGUCAUUUUAUCCAUACACAAGAGCCCAUGAUCUGGACUUUGAAACACGAUCUAAACACGGGGCGAGGAACAACAGAGCACCCAGGAUGUAUAACCUGAAACUUGUCUAAAAGGAAAUGUAAUUAAACAAAGCUCCUUUCAACAUCUACAAUGGGCAGCCUCGGAUGAGGGAUUUGGGAGAGUUGUACAAUUAGAUGAAUAAAGCCAGAAUUAGUAAAAUAGCAGUUGACAUUCACUAACUGCUACCUAUGUGCUGGGCUUCAUUUUAAAAACUUUUCAGGUUUUCGUGCGUUUGAUCCUCAUAACAACCUCAUGAGGAUGCUCUUGUUGCCACAUUGUUACUCUCGUUAUACAACGUACAUUUAAUAACGAUCCAAAGUCAGUUGCAACCAACAAGAGGCAGAGCCAGAACGGGUACGCAGCCAGAAACCACAGGCCUCACCAUGGCCCUCUGCAGAAACUUAGUGACCGCUCUGCCACAAGAGGGGCUAAGGCAGAGCAUACGACCAUCAAUCAGGGUUCGUAUAAAGGUGACAGGUACAUGAAGCCGACUAGAUAACAUUUAGGUAUUUUCUAGCUCUAAGAAUCUGAAAAUGUAGCAGAGCCACCAUCCGCAUGCUAGGUAAAAUAUAAUGACCAGCAUGACGCCCCUCUAUCAAAUGGUAGAGGAACGAUGAUAAAACACGAGUAUUAUUCUCGGCCACACUUAAAACCAGAAAGACUUCCCAAGCGGUGGUUCCAAGUUUGUGCUGAAGCAGAGAAGGGCCCACAUUCUAACAAAUGAGAUAGAAUAGCUCCGCCCAGCACAUGGACCCUGGAGGCCUAGUCUCUGGGAAACCAUCUCGCCCAGCUUUCCUUCAAGGAGAACUCUAGGCACAAUCACUCUUGAGAGCCACUCUGUCCCCUCAGGCACAGCUAUAGCUCUCACCAGUUUUCUGACUUUGGCCUGAAUAUAAGGACCUGCAGGAGUCAUGUCUCAGGACUUUAUAACCUGGGAAAUAAUCACAUCGUUUUCUCUGCUAAAACACACUCUACUUCCAGGAAGCUAGAGUCCUCAACUUGAAGCCCCAUCUGGAACAGACCCUUCGGCCUUUUCUGCUCUACCACUGGGAAAACUUGGACUCUUCUUUGCAAACCAUCCCAGUCCUGGCUCCCCUGCCUCAGGGACAGAGAGCCAAAGACUUGCUCUCUAGGCCGUUGACUAGCACUUUUCCCAGCACGCCUGCCCUCCAAAAGGCAUGCUCACAAAUGCUACAUCAGACGCUGUUUAGUUUCCCAUUCAUGGAAGAGGCAUGAAGGCCACAGAACCAGGACUCUUUUGGACUGCAUCUGCGUGGACGCCCCAGUAGGAGCUGCAUGUGUUGGGGAACAGACUCUAUGUCAGACACAUCAAGAGACAGAUAGCCAGCAACAAACACAACAGGCAUCCUCUUUUCUGACCCUCACAAAAUUUCCAAGAGGUAAGUAGAAUUAUUCUCAUGGUAUCACCUGGAAAAUGGUGAACUGAAUCGCCCGAGAGCACACACAGAGACUGGCAAAACUAGGACUCCAGCUUGGCCUGAAUCCAGAAAGCAAGGUUCUAAGAUCAGAAAGUCAAAAGGCAGGGAAGAGACGAGAGAGAGACAGAAAAAAUCCCUUCUUUUCUGAUACGUUGUUAUCUGGGUUCUUGUCCGUGAAAAUAGGAUCAGAAAGGGGUACUUCUGAUUUGACUUUCUCAGGUCUGAGCUCUUCCUAAUUCCUGAACUCUGUGUGUGUGUCUGUGUGUGUCUCAGUGUGUACACAAGUUUACACAAAUCUACUGUCUUAGAGCGGAGCUACCAAACCAACUUACACUUCCACAGUCAGUGGUGCAUGCUAACAGGCCCCUGUACAAAAUGAUGUUAUUUUAUUGUCUAAGCACGGAUGGCUUCAACUAUCAGGGAGGGAAUCUGGAAACACUCAGAGGACAUUUUGUGGCCUUGUCUGCUCCCUUCAUGCCAUAGGGUGGCUUUCUGUACUUGUGUCCCUGAAAAACUGUCUCAACUCCUGCAACGGAUAUCAAAGAGCACCAGCACUUCCCAGGAAGCUGUGUUAGUGGCCGGCACAGCCUGGGACCCCUGGCUUCUCUCCAGUAAAUGCGAGGCUCCCAUCCUGUCUCUAGCAUGUACGUUGAUGCACCUCCUGCUCCGCUUCUCAGAAGGAUAGGUUUUCCCCACCUCUCUCUUCAGGGUUUCUAGAGAAAUCAUCUCUCCUCAUCAUGACGCCCUACAUCUCACACUUCCUAUCCUCGAGGCCCUCUGCUCAGAAACCUCUCCUCUCUGGUUCUCUUUCUUCACUUCUGCAAGUAUUACACCAACCUCACAUCAUUUUCUGGUGCUACAUGUUUUUGCAUUCUUCUCUUAUCAUUUCAUAAGAUUUAACAGGUGUCGAUUACCAGAAGGAGCUGAAAGAUUGGGGAACAUUCAUUGAAUGACCAAAAGAUCUACGAUAUUUACUAGCUAAUGAUGGAAACGCUGGUGCUGAGGUAGAAAGUGGGGACAGAAAAUACCACAGCUGAAAGAGGGGUGGAGUUUUAUCGCAGAGGAAAUGGAAGAAAAUAAGGGUGUGAAUAUACGGACGCAUCUGCACUGCUCUUCUCAGGUUUUGGAGGAAAAGAACAGGAUGGAAGUAGGUGUAUUGAAGGGAUGCCCUGGGGCAGAUGUUGAGGGAGGAUUCUCUCUCGCGCGGGUUUGUUUCUCAGUGAACAGGGACGUGAUGCCUAGGUUUCUCGGAGAGUAUUGGUGUGGGAGGUAUGGUGGAUUUGAGGGGAAUGGCAAAGAUUUUGAUGAACUGCCAUGGAUAAGGGGGAGAGUGAGGCUUGUCAAAAUGUGUUGAGGAACCAAAAGGAAUUGAUCAUCAUAACUUGUAGCCUACAUUUGUAUGAUUCCUCCACUGUGCCCUGGCUGUGCAGGAAGAGGGAAAUUAAAACAUGGACAGAUUUUCUCAGGGUUGAGGUUUUGCUGGAAGCCUGCAAUGCCUUGGAUGCCUGUGGGUGCGAGAGGAGAGAACCCAAACUGGGCUGACAACGUGAAAUGCAAGACAGAGCUUAGAGGCUGGAGAUGACCCUUGGAUCAAAGAGCAGUUAUACACAAAAUGAGUGAGCUGGGAGGGGCAUGGACACUUAAAUAAUAUGAGCAAAAACAGUGUGAAUUAAAGUAGCUUAAACAAAGCCUAUUUGCAUCCACUAAGUUUUUCUUCCUCUAGCCUGAAUCUCUUCUCCAUUGCAUUUUUCUUCUCCCCCAGCAUCAUAUAUUGCCCAAGGACCACUCUUCCUAGUGUAAAUGCCGGUUUCUUUCCUCAACCCAUUUACACACAAGACUCUAUCUCCUCCCUUUAGUGACAAUGGACGUGACCCACCCAGGCCCAUUGCCACAUUCUGUACACAGUUAUCUCCAGACCUUGAAAUCUUUAUGUUAAAUUUAAUUCUUUAUUUUAACGUUGUUAAAAGUCAGAGAGACAAAGAAAAUAAUGUACCAAGAAGUCUUCCUCUAGAUUUAACAGGAUAAUAUAUGCUCCACAUUUCUUAAGAAAUAAUACACUUGAAACUCUUCUGGUGCCUAUCCAAAAUCUUCUUUUUCCCACUAUCCUCCCAGAGGCAACAGCCAUGCUAGAAUGCGUAAUAUACUGCAUUCGGGAUGUAAACUUUUACCACAUAGACAUGCAUUAUUUUAUACGCAAAAAUGUACUGUGUGAUGCACCUUACGUUUUAUAGCAACUAUUUUUCCAUCGCAUUGUGAUUUUUAAAAAUUAUUCCAUGUUCACAAUCAUUUUAAUCGUUGUACAGAAUUCAAUCGUAAGACAACUCCACAGUGAUUAUUCGUUUCUAAGUUUUCUGUAUGACAAUAUAUAUCCUUCUGGAAUGCAUGUGUUAGAGUCCUCUAGGGCCAAACACGAAGUAGAAUGUAAGAACUGUCAGCUUACCCAGAUGUGGGAUAACUGUUCUCCUAAUGGUAACAGAAAAAUUUCCAUUUCUUCCCUAACAUUUGCAACUGUCUGACUUUAUAUCUGCUCCAGAGGUAAAGGGUUUUUUUAUUUCCCCAAUACAUUAUUUUUUCCUACUGUACAGCAUGGUGACCCAGUUACACAUACAUGUAUACAGGAUUUUUAACUGAAUUUUGUUUUAAUUUGGUUGAACAUCUCUUCUGUUGGUUACUGUUCAUACCGGUUCCUUCUUCUGUGACUUGGCUAUUCAAGCCUGCUUCCUAUUAUUUCCUCCUGGAUUUUUCGUCUUUCCUUAUUAGUGUGUAGGAAGCUUCUGUACUCUGAAUACUAAGCCUUUGUUAUGUGAUUAUGUGAGCAGCACAUACUUCUUCCAAUCCACGAUUUGCCUCUCCCCUUUCUUUACCCUCUGUUUCACACACAUGCUUUCAAGUUGCCAAAUUUUACAUUUUUGCUUCUGUGUUGUAAAUUUUGUGCCUGGUUAAAAAAAUCAUAUUCUAUCCUGAUACUAUAAACACUUUUCUUCUAAAGCUUCUGAAGUUUUGCUUUUUACAUUUAUUAGAAAUGUUUCUGUAUUAUUCUUAUGUUUUGGUGUCUAAGAGUCCCAAACAGCCAGUCCAACCGUGCCCUAGCUAUUUCGAAGCCUACCCACGUCAUGUACCAAUUUCUAACAAAUAGAAACGCAUUUAUAUUGAUAUUUCAAAUUUCUGUUUGUAAUAGAAUUUUGUUUGUAGGCUCUCCAGAAUGUUACAUAGAUGUAUUUGUCAGUUCCUGUGUCAGUACUAAUCCAAGGAUCACAAUGAUUUCAUAGAUUAAUAGACUGGUGGAGAAUUGACAUUUUUGUAAUAGUGAGUUCUCCACAUUUUCUAGGUAUUCUUUCUGCCACUCAGUAACAUUUAGUCAUUUUUUCUAG
rnacentral:lncRNA from 1 species